rnacentral:lncRNA from 1 species
AUGGCACUGAAGGUGAAGAAGGAAGUUCCUGCCCCUCCCAAAGCUGAAGCAAAAGCAAAGGUUUUGAAAGCCAAGAAGGCAGAGAUGAGAGGCAUCCACAGACACAAAAAAAGAUCCACAAGUCACCCACCUUCUGGGACCCAAGACACUGUGGUUCCAGAGGCAGCUCAAAUGUCUUCAGAAGAGCACCCCCAGGAGAAACAAGCUUGACCAUCAUGCCAUCCAUCGUCAGGCUCCCAACUGCCGAGUCCACCAUGAAGACAGAAGACAACCACAUGCCUGUGUUCACUGUGGAUGCCAAAGCCAACAAGUGCCAGAUCAAACAGGCUGUGAAGAAACUCUGUGACACUGAUGUGGCCAAUGUCAAUAACCUAAUCAGGGCCUGGUGGAGAGAAGAAGGCAUACAUUCCACUGUUUAUCAUGCUUUGGAUAUUGCCAACAAGAUUGGGAUCAUCUAA